GUCUUCCUAGGUCUUGUCUUGUGCCCUUCUUGUAGAUCAGUAUAACAUCGGCUAGUUUCCAGUCAGCAAGGAAAGCCUUUUUUAUUUUCUGACACCACACUGGCCACUGUCAUCUCAGGCUGAGCUUUGUUUUCUUCUUGUUUUCUCCCUGCAAAUGUGAACUGCACUCUCUCUGUGAAGCCUGACCUUGUUUCCAAAGAUCAUACAUUUUAUUUUUCUGCCCUAGUUUCAGGAGGUGUUCCCUGUUCAGCCAGGCUGGUCUUCUGCCCUGCUUGCUUGACUCGUGACACAAUGGAAUUGCCAUUACAUUAUGGAUUGCAUUAGUAAAUAUUUCACUAUUUCAUUAUAUUUCUUCAUUUUAAAGCCUGAUUCUUUCUUUCCUCUGUAGAAAAUGAGGAUUCUUUCUUUCCUCUGUCUCUAAAUGGGCAUUAUCUAGUGAGACUUUGCAGUCAUUUGGUUGAUAUGCCAUGGAGUAGGUCAAAGAGCAGGGCUCAGUCACAUCUACAUAGUGUUUACACUAGACUAACUUCUCUAACUUCUCAAUGAGACAUGUAAUGUUAGAGUGGUUGCCUCUGCUUUGAAACUAGCUUCAGAUCCUUUCUGGUUUGUCAUAGACACUUUCCUUUCUGACUCUUGUAAAGACAGAUCUCAAAUGCUGCUUCUUUGUAGACACGGACUGCUCCUAUCUGGAUUUGCUUAUACAGUGCACUGUGAGACUCAUAAGAUUGGAUUUAGGAAUCUAUACCUUUCCAAAGAGUGCAAAGAAAAUAAGAAGUACCUCUACUGAACUAUGAGGAAGUUUUCAUCAACAGCUAAUGCCUAGAGCUCUGCUUUUGAUUUUUCUUUUGCACAUAAAGGUAAGCAAAGUUCUCCAGUCUGUCUCAUUACACAGCAUUAAAAAUUCUUGAUGUUGAAACACCUUUACAGUAGAGACAAGUGCUUUCUUUCAAAUUUUAUGUUUCCAGAAGCAGAAGAUGAUUGACAGUGAGUGCAAAACAGCCAACACAGGGAGUGAGCUUCCUCAAGUCUUCUGCAGCCCAAAAGAUUUCCUCUGGAAGCCUCACUAGGAGAGGUAGGUGCUGCUGGCUUGGUCUGUAUUGUCCAAACUCUGUAAGCUAUAAACUGGAGCCUGAAUUGUGUUGGAAUUGAAAUUUCCUCAGCACCAAAACUGCUAUUUCUGAAUGUAGCCAGGUUGCUUUCUGAAAUGUGAAGGAGAGAAUGGAAUUUCUGAAAAGCAUGCCAACUCCCCUUGGAGGUGUGAGGCAGCUGAUGGCAAUUUGACAGAGCCCCUGGUAUGGGCCAGCAGGUAACUCUGCCCACACCACAGGUAGUACCCAGGUGCCUGCCUCUGGGGGUCAAGCCUCUCAGAGAGCCUGGAGCCUAAAUUGGGAGCACCUCAAGCACUCAGGCUAGCACCUUGUCUGGCCAGGAAGUAGCUUUUGUACCUGCAGUAAAUAAAGCAACAGACAGACAAAAUGCUUUCCUGCA
rnacentral:lncRNA from 1 species